AGUAGAGAUGGGGUUUCACCAUGUUGGUCAGGCUGGUCUCAAACUCCUGACCUCAGAUGAUCCGCCCACC
rnacentral:miRNA from 1 species